AACGAACGCUGGUGGCGUGCUUAACACAUGCAAGUCGAACGGUAAGGCCCUUCGGGGUACACGAGUGGCGAACGGGUGAGUAACACGUGGGUGAUCUGCCCUGCACUUCGGGAUAAGCCUGGGAAACUGGGUCUAAUGCCGGAUAGGACCACUGCCUGCAUGGGUGGUGGUGGAAAGCUUUUGCGGUGUGGGAUGGGCCCGCGGCCUAUCAGCUUGUUGGUGGGGUGAUGGCCUACCAAGGCGACGACGGGUAGCCGGCCUGAGAGGGUGACCGGCCACACUGGGACUGAGAUACGGCCCAGACUCCUACGGGAGGCAGCAGUGGGGAAUAUUGCACAAUGGGCGCAAGCCUGAUGCAGCGACGCCGCGUGAGGGAUGACGGCCUUCGGGUUGUAAACCUCUUUCAGCACCGACGAAGCGCAAGUGACGGUAGGUGCAGAAGAAGGACCGGCCAACUACGUGCCAGCAGCAGCCGCCGUAA
rnacentral:rRNA from 1 species